CAAUACUCUAGUGGCAGACGGGUGAGUAACACGUGGGAACCUUCCUUUUAGUACGGAAUAGCCCGGCGAAAGCCGGAUUAAUACCGUAUACGCCCUAUGGGGGAAAGAUUUAUCGCUAAAAGAUGGGCCCGCGUAAGAUUAGCUAGUUGGUGAGGUAAUGGCUCACCAAGGCUACGAUCUUUAGCUGGUUUGAGAGAAUGAUCAGCCACACUGGAACUGAGACACGGUCCAG
rnacentral:rRNA from 1 species